UCUUGGUCCCUGCACAAUGUGAAGUUGUGAACCCCGUCAGGACCGGAAGGUAGCAGCGGUAGCGAUGUAACAUGUGUGCUAGUGUGGCUAAGAGGC
rnacentral:SRP_RNA from 1 species